UAAGCAAUUAUACCGCGAAACUGCGAAUGGCUCAUUAUAUAAGUUAUCGUUUAUUUGAUAAUACUUUACUACUUGGAUAACCGUGGUAAUUCUAGAGCUAAUACAUGCUAAAAAUCCCGACUUCGGAAGGGUUGUAUUUAUUAGAUUAAAAACCAAUGCCCCUCGGGGCUCUCUGGUGAAUCAUGAUAACUAGUCGAAUCGACAGGCCUUGUGCCGGCGAUGGCUCAUUCAAAUUUCUUCCCUAUCAACUUUCGAUGUUUGGGUCUUGUCCAAACAUGGUGGCAACGGGUAACGGAGGGUUAGGGCUCGACCCCGGAGAAGGAGCCUGAGAAACGGCUACUACAUCCAAGGAAGGCAGCAGGCGCGCAAAUUACCCAAUCCCGACACGGGGAGGUAGUGACAAUAAAUACUGAUACAGGGCUCUUUUGGGUCUUGUAAUCGGAAUGAGUACAAUUUAAAUCCCUUAACGAGGAACAAUUGGAGGGCAAGUCUGGUGCCAGCAGCCGCGGUAAUUCCAGCUCCAAUAGCGUAUAUUAAAGUUGUUGUGGUUAAAAAGCUCGUAGUUGAACCUUGGGCCUGGCUGGCCGGUCCGCCUCACCGCGUGCACUGGUCCGGCCGGGCCUUUCCCUCUGCGGAACCCCAUGCCCUUCACUGGGUGUGGCGGGGAAACAGGACUUUUACUUUGAAAAAAUUAGAGUGCUCAAGGCAGGCCUAUGCUCGAAUACAUUAGCAUGGAAUAAUAGAAUAGGACGUGUGGUUCUAUUUUGUUGGUUUCUAGGACCGCCGUAAUGAUUAAUAGGGACAGUCGGGGGCAUCAGUAUUCAAUUGUCAGAGGUGAAAUUCUUGGAUUUAUUGAAGACUAACUACUGCGAAAGCAUUUGCCAAGGAUGUUUUCAUUAAUCAGGAACGAAAGUUAGGGGAUCGAAGACGAUCAGAUACCGUCGUAGUCUUAACCAUAAACUAUGCCGACUAGGGAUCGGACGAUGUUACAUUUUUGACGCGUUCGGCACCUUACGAGAAAUCAAAGUG
rnacentral:rRNA from 1 species